rnacentral:sRNA from 1 species
ACACCUGAAGAGGAGCGGGCGCGAGAUUGCGCUGCCCAUUGAAGCCUGUGUCAUGCUGCUUCUGGAGACAGGCAUGAAGGAGGAGGGCCUUUUCCGAAUUGGGGCUGGGGCCUCCAAGUUAAAGAAGCUGAAAGCUGCUUUGGACUGUUCUACUUCUCACCUGGAUGAGUUCUAUUCAGACCCCCAUGCUGUAGCAGGUGCUUUAAAAUCCUAUUUACGGGAAUUGCCUGAACCUUUGAUGACUUUUAAUCUGUAUGAAGAAUGGACACAAGUUGCAAGGUAUGUAUGAUUGAGCUACAAUGACUCUGGAGUGAAGAUAAGUUUAAUGCCCAGCAGAGAAGUCAUUUAAUUCAGGCAUACUUGGCACAUUAAAAAACAACAACAACAACAACAACAAAAACACAUCACUUUGGAGAGUAACUUGGGGCUACUGGGAAUGGGAUUUCAUGUAUAUUAUGAUGAAUUUGAAGCAUCAGUAUCAUGCCUGACAUUAAUACAUAAGUUGGCUUAUCAUUUUCCCACUACAGCUAUUAGCAAUAAAUUUCUUGUGAAAAGUU